rnacentral:rRNA from 1 species
UACAGAGGGUGCAAGCGUUAAUCGGAAUUACUGGGCGUAAAGCGUGCGUAGACGGUUACAUAAGUCGGGUGUGAAAGCCCCGGGCUCAACCUGGGAAUUGCAUUCGAGACUGCGUAGCUAGGGUGCGGAAGAGGGAAGCGGAAUUUCCGGUGUAGCGGUGAAAUGCGUAGAUAUCGGAAGGAACAUCAGUGGCGAAAGCGGCUUCCUGGUCCAGCACCGACGUUCAGGCACGAAAGCGUGGGGAGCAAACAGG